rnacentral:rRNA from 1 species
AUUGAACGCUGGCGGCAUGCCUUACACAUGCAAGUCGAACGGUAACAGGUCUUCGGAUGCUGACGAGUGGCGAACGGGUGAGUAAUACAUCGGAACGUGCCCGAUCGUGGGGGAUAACGGAGCGAAAGCUUUGCUAAUACCGCAUACGAUCUACGGAUGAAAGCAGGGGACCGCAAGGCCUUGCGCGGACGGAGCGGCCGAUGGCAGAUUAGGUAGUUGGUGGGAUAAAAGCUUACCAAGCCGACGAUCUGUAGCUGGUCUGAGAGGACGACCAGCCACACUGGGACUGAGACACGGCCCAGACUCCUACGGGAGGCAGCAGUGGGGAAUUUUGGACAAUGGGGGAAACCCUGAUCCAGCCAUGCCGCGUGCAGGAUGAAGGCCUUCGGGUUGUAAACUGCUUUUGUACGGAACGAAAAGGUCCUUUCUAAUAAAGAGGGCUCAUGACGGUACCGUAAGAAUAAGCACCGGCUAACUACGUG